UACGAAGGGGGCGAGCGUUGUUCGGAUUUACUGGGCGUAAAGGGCGCGCAGGCGGCGCAUUUUGUCAGGCGUGAAAGCCCCGGGCUUAACCUGGGAACUGCGUUUGAUACGGAUGGGCUAGAGUUCGGGAGAGGAGAGUGGAAUUCCCAGUGUAGAGGUGAAAUUCGUAGAUAUUCGGAAGAACACCAGUGGCGAAGGCGGCUCACUGGACUGGUAUUGACGCUGAGGUACGAAAGCGUGGGGAGCAAACAGG
rnacentral:rRNA from 1 species